ensembl:ncRNA C07H6.13 ncRNA
AGACAGUGAUAAAUAGUACAAGUGUUGAGUCGGCUCAGAGCGGCCAGCUGGUCUGUGUUAGUGGUGUUACUCAUCAAUUGAAGUGG